rnacentral:rRNA from 1 species
GACGAACGCUGGCGGCGUGCUUAACACAUGCAAGUCGAACGGAAAGGCCCUGCUUUUGUGGGGUGCUCGAGUGGCGAACGGGUGAGUAACACGUGAGUAACCUGCCCUUGACUUUGGGAUAACUUCAGGAAACUGGGGCUAAUACCGGAUAGGAGCUCCUGCUGCAUGGUGGGGGUUGGAAAGUUUCGGCGGUUGGGGAUGGACUCGCGGCUUAUCAGCUUGUUGGUGGGGUAGUGGCUUACCAAGGCUUUGACGGGUAGCCGGCCUGAGAGGGUGACCGGCCACAUUGGGACUGAGAUACGGCCCAGACUCCUACGGUAGGCAGCAGUGGGGAAUAUUGCACAAUGGGCGGAAGCCUGAUGCAGCAACGCCGCGUGCGGGAUGACGGCCUUCGGGUUGUAAACCGCUUUCGCCUGUGACGAAGCGUGAGUGACGGUAAUGAGUAAAGAAGCACCGGCUAACUACGUG